UCAUCUGAAUCAUUUUUAAGUGUGCAGUUCAGUGGUAUUUAACACAUCCAUACCGUUGUGCAGCUCUCAGGACUGACCCCCUCCCCCCUCCUGCACCCCGACAACCGCCAUUCCAUUUCCCGUCUCUAUGAAUUAGACUGCCCAGCUACCUCAAAUCAGUGGAAUCACGCAAUAGGUGUCUUUUUGUGUCUGGCUUAUUUCUCUGAGCACAAUGUUCUCAAGGUUCAUCCAUGCUGUUGUAGGUUUGUUUUAUAUAAAAAUAAACACAACACCAUCAUAAACCAUUACGAAACAUAUUUCCCCCCAGCCCCCACAUAACAUACUCCCAAUCUUAAAGUGGAUGUUCCACCAAAUCUGUGCCUUGUGUAUUCCGUGUCUUUCAGUGUCCCCAAGACCACAUGCCCCGCUUUGAGAAGCACAUCCUUCCCCACUCUGGCCACAUGUGUGGCCCCCUCACAGCUGGACUUCAGGGUCUGUGCUGAGUGGCGGCCUGUGUGUGUGUGUGUGUGUGUGUGUAUAAGUACAUGCGAGCACACCACCCCCCAUCUCUCUGCUGCCCUCCUUUGUUCUCAGCCCCGGGGGCUGUUGAUUCUUGGGAAUUUUCCAUUUUAGCUUUUUUUUUUUUUUUUGAAAUUUACACUAAUCCAUUGUCUUCCUUUUAAAAAUGAAGAAACUGCCAUGCAGGAAGGCUAACUUCCAGACGUGUCCCAGCCAAUGAGUGGCGAUGCCAGACUCCAGUCCAGGCCUGUGGACCGCACAGACUCACGCCUUCUCCAACCCCACCGUCUCCCAUGCUCCCACAUUCAUGGCCCACCCAUGAUGGAAUUCAGCAGGCCACCGGCUUCUGUCACUGCCAUUAACAUUGUGUUAAUGUCGUGAACCCCAUUUGUAGUUAUGUCGUGUUUAAUUUUUACAGGUCUACAAUCCCUUAUUUGCAGUUAUGAAAUUCAGAAGACUCAAAACUGAAAAUUUUCUCCUAAGUUUGUGAGUAAGACCUGGCCUGAACUCGUAUGAAGCUAUUUAGUGUCUCAAUUUAGCUUGUUUAGGUGACUAUUUGUAUGUUUUGCUGCAGAGCUAUAAGUGUGUGUGUGUGUGUUUUUUUUUUUUAAAGAUUAUUGAUCUGAGAGAGAGAAUGGGAGACAGAGAGCAUGAGAAGGUAAGGGUCAGAGGGAGAAGCAGACCCCCCGCUGAGCAGGGAGCCCGAUGUGGGACUCGAUCCCGGGACUCCAGAAUCAUGACCUGAGCCGAAGGCAGUUGCUUAACCAACUGAGCCACCCAGACGCCCAGUGUGUGUGGUUUUGUUGUUGCUUUUGGUUGGUUAGUUUUGAUUAAAGAGGGCUUCCCAACUGUCCUGGAGGUCAUAUAUCAUAUGCAGUUUCGUAACUUCUAAGAGCUGAAAAAUGCUCAAUCCUGAAACACAUUUGGCUCCAAGAGUUUCUAAUAAGGAACUGGGACCUAGAUAUAUAUAAUACGGUUUUAAAGGCUGUAAAAAUAAAAAGCUCAGACCCAGUUUUAUGUCUAUAUAUCUUUAAGUGGUGUUAUACUUGAAAAUAAGGGUCAUAGGAUAACAGGUCCAUAAAUUACUGAAGUUAGAGAAGGUCCCCAGCCACAGCCCCUACCCCCACCAAAGUUAGUAGAAUUUCCUUCCUGAUUUAACUUGAGUGUUGGGAAGUCCAUUUCUGAAUUGAGAGGUGCUGGCCCUCUGACUUUCUGGGUAAUGUUUCUAGGCCUUCGGCACAAGGCACAGAGACUUCUCAAUUUCCGGGCUGAGAAUUAUCCAAACACAGAGGGGCUGAAGCAGCAGAGGAGAUAAGCAGCACCCUGGGAGUGUGGUGGAGAGAGACCAAGAGGAAAGGAUCCAAAAGCGUCAGCAACUGGCCCGUGGGGGUCCCAGUCCAGGGCCCCUCCCUGGCAGCCGGCAGGGACAGCAGUGAGAGGCUGAGCCAGACAGGUCUUGGCAAACAGGGUGCAAGCAUGUUCCUGUUGGGGUUGGUAUCUACAAGGACCAUUCAGGCGAUUUUCCGGGGGUGAUAUGGGUAAGUGUAACCUGCACGAAAGUGGUGGGGGCAGGAGCCCAGUAUCCAGUACGACGGUCCUAACCAGAACUGUCCCUGGGCCAUGGUCUAUGACCUUGGCAGGGACUGCAGCCCUUGUCUGUGCCCGAUUCUCUAGCCUUCCUGUCAAUUCCAUGAGCUCUCCAUGUCCUUACUCUAAGCAAUGCUUCUGUUUAAGUGAACUACCUCUUUUUCUGUGCAUUGCAACCAAGAACCCUGUGUGUCAGGUCCGAUUAGAUGUGCAAGAGAUCUAUUAGGGGAAACGCUGUGAAGAUAAGCAGGUGGGAGCAGGAACAGGGCUGGCCUUCAGAACGUGAUGCAGCCCGAUGUGUGGCAACUGGACUCUGUCCUCAGCCAUGCUUCCUGCACCGUGCUCUCUUGAGGGACAUCCUCACGGCUGCCACCAACCUCUGGUACAGGGCACAAGGUGGGGGGUUGGGGGGGGGGACGAUAGAUCCCUGACCUUGCAAAGUCCACAGUUGAGAGGGAGAAAGAGAGACAAAUGUAUCAUUGCCGCUGUUCCAAACUGCAAACCCCGCGCUGGGGGAGCACAGAGGCAGGCCGACGGGAAGGCUUCCUGGAAGUGGCGCAUCCUGGGAGCCCUGAGGUUUUGCCUUCUCCCUUCUCUCUCCAGUUUUCCAUCCCAACCCAGCCUGACAAAAAGAUCUGGCCCCUUAUUUCUAGGUGGUGUCCCCAGAUCUGCAGUCUGCAGAGAUGAUCUGGAAGUACGGAAUCCAGGAUACAGGCAGAGGGAACAUGGGGCAGAAGGAACUCACUUUUACUGGCGCUUAGUGGGCUCUUUAGAGAAGCGCUGACUUCCCUACACCACCCUCUGUGGGAGGCUCCAGUGAGCAAGCUGAGGCUUAAGUUUUUGGCACGGAACUCACCACGUCCCUCUGGGGUAGCAGAACCUGAGGCUUGGAGAGGAGGACAACUUGCCUAAGCCAGGAACUGCUCCGGCCUUGCUGGUGGGUCCAAGGCUGCCCCUUAGCACUGUGUGUGGGCGCUGCCUCCCCACCCUCGGGGGCUUCUUUGCAGCAGGGGUGGGGAGUAAGAACUCGUGGGCCGGGGUGUCUGAAAAGGGCUCAUUGAGGAAAACCAGGAACAGGCCAGGAAGGAAGGUGGGGCCUCGGCUACCCAGCCCCCACCUUAGCAGAAGAAGCAGCUUCCUCCUCCUUUACGGGGGACCUUUGACCAAGGUCAGAAAAUUCCUGGCUUACAGGGGCAGGGAGUGGGGCUUCUUGAAUGGAAGAAACUGUUUUCCUCUUUUAGACAGGCUUUGAGUAAUUCCAUUCCCUUUUCUCUGCCAAGCUUUAUCUUUGCCUAAGAAUUCGCACCAGUCCCCAGGGGCCCCUGCUACACAGCUGCAGCUGCUUCUCUCUUCAUUGAUGGGUAAGAAAUGGGGCAGAUUUAAAAUGCUUGUUUUAAUAAGCAUUUUGUCUGAAUAUCAGUGACAGCUUAGAGAAAUGACCUACAGGAGCUGGGAGGUCUGAACAAGGGGUGGGCUUCCUGCUGGUGACUUUCCUCUGCCCCAGUGGAGACCCGGGGAAGAAAUGACCAGUGGCCAGGGUAAGCAAAGGCCUAAAGGCCUAAGAGGAUGAGGGAAAGGGACCAGCCUUGUGACCUCCCCAACUCCCAUGUGGCCCAGGGCCAAUGCUGUUUUCCUAGAGGUAGGUGAUUUUCAGGUUCAAAAAAGGGAUGGCAGGCAAGAAGUGCCUUUGUUGAGAAAAAGGACAACUAGGAAAGGAAAUUGAAUUGAUCACAUUUAUUGAGCCCCUACCUUGAUCCUACCAAGUGCCCUGGGCACAGGUGAUGGGGAGGCAAGAUUUAUCUUCAGUUUACAGCUGAGUCUGGGAGACUCAGAUUCCCACAGAGCGAUGCACCAUAAACCACCAAAGACAGGGACAGAGACUGAGGGAGCCCGGUGGGCACCGACUCUGCCUGCCAUGGUGUGGGGAAGGCUUCUCGAAGAGCCAACAUUUGGCCAGGGUCUUGAGGGAUGAGUAGGAGUUUGCAAGGUAGAGUGGGCUUCCAGAGUGCAUUCUCAGCAGUGGGAAACUGGCUAGGAGGGUAGGAAGCAGCAGUGUAUGUGUGGAGAAACUCAGCUGUGGCUGAAGUUCGGGCAUAUGUUGGAGAUAGUGCAGGUUUGGUUCCAAACCACCGCAAUAAA